rnacentral:rRNA from 1 species
GACGAAGGAUGCAAGCGUUAUCCGGAUUCAUUGGGUUUAAAGGGAGCGUAGGCGGACUUGUAAGUCAGUGGUGAAAUCUGUGGGCUUAACCCACAAACUGCCAUUGAUACUGCAGGUCUAGAGUACAGUUGCCGUUGGCGGAAUAUGACAUGUAGUGGUGAAAUACUUAGAUAUGUCAUAGAACACCGAUUGCGAAGGCAGCUAACGAAGCUGUAACUGACGCUGAGGCUCGAAAGUGCGGGGAUCAAACAGGAUUAGAUACCCUGGUAGUCCGCACUGUAAACGAUGAUUACUCGUUGCUGGGGAGCAAUUUCCAGUGACCAAGCGAAAGCGAUAAGUAAUCCACCUGGGGAGUACGCCGGCAACGGUG